rnacentral:rRNA from 1 species
AGAGCUUUGAUCCUGGCUCAAACGAACGCUGGCGGCAGGCUUAACACAUGCAAGCUCGAACGCACCGCAAGGUGAGUGGCAGACGGGUGAGUAACGCGUGGGAACCUUCCCUUUGGUACGGAAUAACUUCGGGAAACCGAAGCUAAUACCGUAUAUCUCCUGCGGGAGAAAGAUUUAUCGCCAAAGGAUGGGCCCGCGUUGGAUUAGCUAGUUGGUGUGGUAAUGGCGCACCAAGGCGACGAUCCAUAGCUGGUCUGAGAGGAUGAUCAGCCACACUGGGACUGAGACACGGCCCAGACUCCUACGGGAGGCAGCAGUGGGGAAUAUUGGACAAUGGGGGCAACCCUGAUCCAGCCAUGCCGCGUGAGUGAAGAAGGCCUUAGGGUUGUAAAGCUCUUUUGGCGGGGACGAUAAUGACGGUACCCGCAGAAUAAGCCCCGGCUAACUUCGUGCCAGCAGCCGCGGUAAU